UCUGCUGAGUCCUCAAGAAAUCAAUUUUUGUGAAUGUUGUGAUCAUAUAAAAUUUGCAUUAAUAUAUUUGGCCAAAUAAUAAAAGGAUAUUAUGCAUCUAGUGCUAUUUAAUUUAUGUAUAUAGCUUGAUCCAGAGUCUUAGGGAGUUUACAGUCACACCCAUUGCUGUUGGACUGACUUCUCUCUCCGCCCUCUAUUUUGACUCUGAACUUCCUCUGAACUUUAAGACGUCCAUUUCAUUUCAGCUUGUCCCAGUCAACAUCACAGCAGUGCAGUUUUUCAGCACAAGAUUAUGUAGGUGCGUGACUGCAUUAGUAUGCUAGUGAGUGUGUGUAGGUUAUAAAAAAUGGGCAGCAGUGAGGAGCAAAGCUGCUUCUGUGUCGCUCUGAGCUUUCUGAAGGACGCAGAGGAAGACACUGAGCUGCAAGUGUCCAAACAGAGACAGCAUCAGGAUCUCACACUGAAGGUCAACAGAGAGACGGAGGAUGUCACCCUUACAGUAGAGGACGGUGAUGGAGUGUGUGUUUUUAAAUUCUCCAUUAUGAGGGAGACAGAGUGCUGUCGAGUGGGGACUCAGUGCUUCCUUGUAACUGCGGGUUGUGUGAGCAUCCUGUUGAGGUUCAAGACGCGGACAGAAUUUCAGAUCUUCCACAGAACAAUAAGGGCAUGCACUGACAGCAGGAGAGAGCUGUCAGCAUUCGACCAGAGGACAGAGAGCUCGUCUGCCCUCCAAUACUUCCAGUUUUAUGGCUGUCUUUCGCAGCAGCAGAACAUGCUUCAGGAUUACCUGAGAACAGCCACAUACCAAAAAGCCAUUUUACUGAAUGACGUUGACUUCAGAGAUAAAGUGGUGCUCGAUGUUGGAUGCGGAACAGGGAUUUUGUCCUUUUUUGCCAUCCAGGCUGGAGCUAGGAAAGUGUACGCAGUGGAGGCCAGUUCCGUGGCCACAUAUGCAGAAGUGCUGGUGAGGAGUAACGGCUUGGCGGACAGGAUCGUUGUGCUUGCUGGGAAGAUUGAGGAGGUGUCCUGCCCUGAGAAAGUGGACAUCAUCAUCUCAGAACCCAUUGGCUACAUGCUUCUUAAUGAGAGGAUGCUGGAGAGCUAUUUACACUCCAAAAAAUGGUUGAAGCCUAAAGGCAUGAUGUUCCCCACCUUCAGUGACAUCCAUCUGGCCCCAUUUACAGAUGAGCAGCUUUACUUGGAGCACCAUGCACGCUCCAACUUCUGGCUCCAGACCUCUUUCUACGGGGUAAACCUGAGUGGACUCCAUCCUGCAGCCAUGGACGAGUUCUUCAGACAGCCGAUUGUGGAUACGUUUGAGGCUCAGAUUCUAAUGGCCAGGUCUGUAAAACACAGCAUUAACUUUAUGGAAGCAAAAGAAGAGGACUUGCACAGGAUGGAAAUUCCCUUUGUCUUCAAACUCAUGCAGUCAGGACUGAUUCAUGGACUUGCGUUCUGGUUUGAUGUGGCAUUUGUAGGAUCAAGGACAACAGUGUGGCUAUCCACUGCACCGCAUGAGCCACUGUCUCACUGGUACCAGGUCCGAUGUCUCCUACAGACGCCUCUGUUUGCAAAAAUAGGCCAGACCCUAUCUGGACAGGUUCUACUGAUUGCCAACAAGAGGCAGAGCUAUGAUAUUCAUAUCACAGCCGUAAUUGAUGAGUCUGGCUUUAAAUCUGGCAACACAUUGGACCUUAAAAACCCUUUCUUCCGGAUGCCACGGUGGCUGCAGAUGUAAAGAGCCCACAGCAGUAAAGAGCAUUAAGUGAGGAUUGGCAGAGUAGUCAGUGCCACAGUGGCUGGAAAAGCGGCAUCCGUGGAGUAGGCUGGGUAUGCUUGACUGACCAUUUGUUGCUGGGAUCGUCAAUCUGCUUUGAAAUCCUGAUUCAGAUACAAGAAAUACCCCAUACAAGCUCAGAUAAUCAGUUAUAAUGCACAUGCUUUAUUUCUAUAAGAGUUGUGUUGCAUACGUGUGUGUUGUGAAGUCUGUAUCCUGCAACAUUGUUUUGGUGCAACUUGAAGACAAAUAAAAUACAAUUAUUUGCAAUACAGGACUAGUGAGUGGCAUUGUUUAUUUAUGACUCUGAUAUUACUCUUUGUUGUAUUAUUAGAUAGCAAACAGGUAGUUUGGAGUACACAUCUCUGAAGACCUGACCUGGAAUCAUCAAAUCCAAUCUCAGGUGAACAAAGCCAGAUAACGCUUGUACCAUCUGAGACUGCUGAGGAAAUUCAGGGUCUCCCCAGCAAGCCUGAAAAUGUUCUAUACUGGGGCUAUAGAAAGUUUACUGACUCAGUGCAUCUCAGCAUGGUACGGAAACCGUGGUAGUCUGAUAGCUAACACUGAGAGGCUCAGGAGGAGCUUCUUCCCUCAGGCCAUCAGACAUCUCAACACUGAUAUGUCCACUAUACAGAUCCCUUAGGACUCAUUAAAAACUCUCUUAUCACUUUUGUAUCGUUCCUACACGUAACAUACCUGCGUAUUUCGUACAUUCCUAUUUUUUUGGCACAUUCCUGUACAUAUGCCUUGCACACUGUUUAGUUUUAGCUUCAGUUCUACUGUACACAGUCUUAUUUCUACUUAUUAUUUUUACUUAUUUCCUAUUCAUUUCUUAUUUUUAGGCCAGGUUUUCAUUUCAGUACAAGUUAUAUACUGUAUACUGUAUAACUGUGUAUGUGACAAAUCUUGAAUCAUGCAAGUAUCACUUUUAUUUUAUUAUUAAACCUCAAACAGAUACCGUAAGUACAAUAUUUCUAUUCAUGUGAAAGUAAUUUUAUAUAACUGUAACAUUUGUAAAAACUUAUAUAACACUAAUGAAUACCUACGUGUAUUGUCCUUGCCAUGCUAUUUCUGAUUAAGGAUGGGCAAAUGUAUAUUUUUAUCGCUCUCUUCUAUGUAUCACCUUCUAAUUAACACUCAUUUUUUCAAA